UACGGGGGGGGCAAGCGUUGUUCGGAAUUACUGGGCGUAAAGGGCUCGUAGGCGGCCAACUAAGUCGGAUGUGAAAUCCCCAGGCUCAACUUGGGAACUGCAUCCGAUACUGGAUGGCUUGAAUUCGGGAGAGGGAUGCAGAAUUCCAGGUGUAGCGGUGAAAUGCGUAGAUAUCUGGAGGAAUACCGGUGGCGAAGGCGGCAUCCUGGACCGGUAUUGACGCUGAGGCACGAAAGCGUGGGGAGCAAACAGG
rnacentral:rRNA from 1 species